CAUUAGAUUCAUUUUACAUCACAAUUACAUAAUACAUUCUUUUUAGCUUCCAAAUACAAUCUAGCUUUAACAAUAUUAUUACAACUUGAUCCUUUUCAUUUUCUUGCAUCCCUAAGUAGGGCCGACUCAGGGUACCGCUAUCUCUGGUCUCGGUGGUAGGGCGCUAACUAUGAAACUACGCCCUCGCCUCGCGUUGCCGCGCCGCUCACGUACGAACCUGUAACACCC
rnacentral:lncRNA from 1 species